rnacentral:rRNA from 1 species
UGCGGUUUAAUUGGAUUCAACGCCGAAAAACUCACCAGCAGCGACUGUUACAUGAAAGUCAGGUUGAUGACCUUACUAGAUUUUCAGAGAGGUGGUGCAUGGCCGUCGUCAGUUCGUACCGUAAGGCGUUCUCUUAAGUGAGAUAACGAACAAGACCCUCACCAAUAGUUGCUACCGUAUCCCCCGGGGUACGAGCACACUAUCGGGACCGCUGGCGCUAAGUCAGAGGAAGGAGAGGUCAACGGUAGGUCAGUAUGCCCCGAAUCUGCUGGGCUACACGCGCGCUACAAAGGGCGGGACAAUGGGCUCCGACGCCGAAAGGCGAAGGCAAUCUCGAAACCCGUCCGUAGUUCGGAUUGAGGGUUGUAACUCACCCUCAUGAAGCUGGAUUCCGUAGUAAUCGCGAGUCAACAACUCGCGGUGAAUAUGCCCCUGCUCCUUGCACACACCGCCCGUCAAACCACCCGAGUUGGGUUUCAGUGAGGCUGUCUCUUCCUGGGAUUGUCGAACUGAGAUUUAGCAAGGAGGGUUAAGUCGUAACAAGGUAUCUGUAGGGGAACCUGCAGAUG